GACGAACGCUGGCGGCGUGCUUAACACAUGCAAGUCGAACGCUGAAGCUUGGUGCUUGCACUGGGUGGAUGAGUGGCGAACGGGUGAGUAAUACGUGAGUAACCUGCCCUUGACUCUGGGAUAAGCCUGGGAAACUGGGUCUAAUACUGGAUAUGACAUGCCACUGCAUGGUGGUGUGUGGAAAGGGUUUUGCUGGUUUUGGAUGGGCUCACGGCCUAUCAGCUUGUUGGUGGGGUAAUGGCCUACCAAGGCGACGACGGGUAGCCGGCCUGAGAGGGUGACCGGCCACACUGGGACUGAGACACGGCCCAGACUCCUACGGGAGGCAGCAGUGGGGAAUAUUGCACAAUGGGCGGAAGCCUGAUGCAGCGACGCCGCGUGAGGGAUGACGGCCUUCGGGUUGUAAACCUCUUUCAGCACGGAAGAAGCGAGAGUGACGGUACGUGCAGAAGAAGCGCCGGCUAACUACGUG
rnacentral:rRNA from 1 species